GUGCUUGCUUUGGCAGCACAUAUACUAAAACUGGAAUGACACAGAGAACAUUAGCAUGGCCUCUGUAUAAGGAUGACAUGAAAAUUCAGAAAGUGCUUCAUAGUAAA
ensembl:snRNA U6 U6 spliceosomal RNA